rnacentral:rRNA from 1 species
UGGGGAAUAUUGGGCAAUGGGCGCAAGCCUGACCCAGCAACGCCGCGUGAAGGAAGAAGGCCCUCGGGUUGUAAACUUCUUUUAUCAGGGACGAAGAAGUGACGGUACCUGAUGAAUAAGCCACGGCUAACUACGUGCCAGCAGCCGCGGUAAUACGUAGGUGGCAAGCGUUAUCCGGAUUUACUGGGUGUAAAGGGCGUGUAGGCGGGGAAGCAAGUCAGAUGUGAAAUUCCAGGGCUCAACCCUGGAACUGCAUUUGAAACUGUUUUUCUUGAGUGAUGGAGAGGCAGGCGGAAUUCCGUGUGUAGCGGUGAAAUGCGUAGAUAUACGGAGGAACACCAGUGGCGAAGGCGGCCUGCUGGACAUUAACUGACGCUGAGGCGCGAAAGCGUGGGGAGCAAACAGG